rnacentral:rRNA from 1 species
UACGGAGGGUGCGAGCGUUGUCCGGAAUCAUUGGGCGUAAAGGGCGCGUAGGUGGCCACUUCAAGCGUGCGGUGAAAGUCGGGGGCUCAACCCCUGAUCGGCUGUGCGAACUGGGGGGCUGGAGCACUGUAGAGGCAGGCGGAAUUCCGGGUGUAGCGGUGGAAUGCGUAGAGAUCCGGAAGAACACCGGUGGCGAAGGCGGCCUGCUGGGCAGUUUUGCUGACACUGAGGCGCGACAGCGUGGGGAGCAAACAGG